UCGUACGCUUCUUUUUCCACCGGAGCUUGCUCCACCGGAAAAAGAAGAGUGGCGAACGGGUGAGUAACACGUGGGUAACCUGCCCAUCAGAAGGGGAUAACACUUGGAAACAGGUGCUAAUACCGUAUAACAAUCGAAACCGCAUGGUUUUGAUUUGAAAGGCGCUUUCGGGUGUCGCUGAUGGAUGGACCCGCGGUGCAUUAGCUAGUUGGUGAGGUAACGGCUCACCAAGGCCACGAUGCAUAGCCGACCUGAGAGGGUGAUCGGCCACAUUGGGACUGAGACACGGCCCAAACUCCUACGGGAGGCAGCAGUAGGGAAUCUUCGGCAAUGGACGAAAGUCUGACCGAGCAACGCCGCGUGAGUGAAGAAGGUUUUCGGAUCGUAAAACUCUGUUGUUAGAGAAGAACAAGGAUGAGAGUAACUGUUCAUCCCUUGACGGUAUCUAACCAGAAAGCCACGGCUAACUACGUGCCAGCAGCCGCGGUAAUACGUAGGUGGCAAGCGUUGUCCGGAUUUAUUGGGCGUAAAGCGAGCGCAGGCGGUUUCUUAAGUCUGAUGUGAAAGCCCCCGGCUCAACCGGGGAGGGUCAUUGGAAACUGGGAGACUUGAGUGCAGAAGAGGAGAGUGGAAUUCCAUGUGUAGCGGUGAAAUGCGUAGAUAUAUGGAGGAACACCAGUGGCGAAGGCGGCUCUCUGGUCUGUAACUGACGCUGAGGCUCGAAAGCGUGGGGAGCAAACAGGAUUAGAUACCCUGGUAGUCCACGCCGUAAACGAUGAGUGCUAAGUGUUGGAGGGUUUCCGCCCUUCAGUGCUGCAGCUAACGCAUUAAGCACUCCGCCUGGGGAGUACGACCGCAAGGUUGAAACUCAAAGGAAUUGACGGGGGCCCGCACAAGCGGUGGAGCAUGUGGUUUAAUUCGAAGCAACGCGAAGAACCUUACCAGGUCUUGACAUCCUUUGACCACUCUAGAGAUAGAGCUUCCCCUUCGGGGGCAAAGUGACAGGUGGUGCAUGGUUGUC
rnacentral:rRNA from 1 species